rfam:Streptomyces cattleya DSM 46488, complete genome.
UGGACAGGGGGGUACCUGCCCCCAUUCGGCAGGGCCUGUCCAGCAGGUUGCGCGAGAGCGUGGCCAGUGGUUGUCGCUCGGGGGUGAUCGCCG